CACAUGCAAGUCGAACGAGAAAGCGGGGGCAACCCCGUGAGUAAAGUGGCAACGGGUGAGUAACACGUAGCUAACCUACCCUCGAGCGGGGGAUAACCUGGGGAAACUCGGGCUAAUACCGCAGAACAUCCCGGUGACACAAGUCAUGGGGAGCAAAGGCCCGCAAGGGUCACUUGAGGAGGGGGCUGCGGCCGAUUAGCUAGUUGGUAGGGUAACGGCCUACCAAGGCUAUGAUCGGUAGCCGGCCUGAGAGGGCGCACGGUCACACUGGCACUGAAACACGGGCCAGACUCCUACGGGAGGCAGCAGUGGGGAAUUUUGCACAAUGCCCGAAAGGGUGAUGCAGCAACGCCGCGUGAGGGAUGAAGGCCUUCAGGUCGUAAACCUCUUUCCACUGGGAAAAACGGGCGGGUGAAGAACCCGUUCUGAUGGUACCGGUGGAAGAAGCCCCGGCCAACUACGUGCCAGCAUCCGCGGUAAUACCUACGGGGCGAGCGUUGUUCGUAAUUAUUGGGCGUAUAGGGCGUGUAGGCGGUGCGGUAAGUCGGGCGUGAAAUCUCCAGGCUUAACUUGGAGAGGUCGCUCGGAACUGCCGUGCUCGAGUGUGGGAGAGGAAAGCGGAAUUCCCGGUGUAGCGGUGAAAUGCGUAGAUAUCGGGAGGAACAUCUGCGGCGAAGGCGGCUUUCUGGACCACAACUGACGAUGAGGCGCGAAAGCUAGGGGAGCAAACAGGAUUAGAUACCCUGGUAGUCCUAGCCCUAAACGAUGAACACUGGGUGUGGCCCUUCACGGGGCCGUGCCGGAGCUAACGCGUUAAGUGUUCCGCCUGGGGAGUACGGUCGCAAGGCGGAAACUUAAA
rnacentral:rRNA from 1 species